rnacentral:rRNA from 1 species
UAAGGAGUAUUGGUCAAUGGACGCAAGUCUGAACCAGCCAUGCCGCGUGAAGGAUGAAGGUCCUCUGGAUUGUAAACUUCUUCUAUCUGGGACGAAAACGGGAUUUUUAUCUCAAUUGACGGUACCAGAGGAAUAAGCACCGGCUAACUCCGUGCCAGCAGCCGCGGUAAUACGGAGGGUGCGAGCGUUAUCCGGAUUUACUGGGUUUAAAGGGUGCGUAGGUGGGCUUAUAAGUCAGUGGUGAAAUCUCCGAGCUUAACUUGGAAACUGCCGUUGAUACUAUAGGUCUUGAAUUAUCUGGAGGUAAGCGGAAUAUGUCAUGUAGCGGUGAAAUGCUUAGAUAUGACAUAGAACACCAAUUGCGAAGGCAGCUUACUACAUAUAAAUUGACGCUGAGGCACGAAAGCGUGGGGAUCAAACA